GACGAACGCUGGCGGCGUGCUUAACACAUGCAAGUCGAACGGUAAGGCCUGCUUUCCCUUGUGGAUUGCGGGUACUCGAGUGGCGAACGGGUGAGUAACACGUGAGUGAUCUGCCCCCAACUUGGGUAUAAGCCUGGGAAACUGGGUCUAAUUCCCGAUAGGACUGCAGGGUGGUGCCUGUGGUGGAAAACGAUUUUCUAGUGGUUGGGGAUGAGCUCGCGGCCUAUCAGCUUGUUGGUGGGGUAAUGGCCUACCAAGGCGGCGACGGGUAGCCGGCCUGAGAGGGUGGACGGCCACAUUGGGACUGAGAUACGGCCCAGACUCCUACGGGAGGCAGCAGUGGGGAAGAUUGCACAAUGGGCGGAAGCCUGAUGCAGCGACGCCGCGUGGGGGAUGACGGCCUUCGGGUGGUAAACUCCUUUCGACCGCGAGGAAGCCACCUGGUUGGAAGGGUGGUGACGGUAGUGGUAGAAGAAGCACCGGCUAACUACGUG
rnacentral:rRNA from 1 species